UUCUUUUCUACACUCUUAAAAAUAAAGAUGCUUCAAAGGGUUUUCACAGCGAUGCCAUAGCGAAGAACCAUUUUUGGCUCC